rnacentral:rRNA from 1 species
GUGGGGAAUCUUGCGCAAUGGGCGAAAGCCUGACGCAGCCAUGCCGCGUGAAUGAUGAAGGUCUUAGGAUUGUAAAAUUCUUUCACCGGGGACGAAAAUGACGGUACCCGGAGAAGAAGCCCCGGCUAACUUCGUGCCAGCAGCCGCGGUAAUACGAAGGGGGCUAGCGUUGCUCGGAAUUACUGGGCGUAAAGGGCGCGUAGGCGGAUCGUUAAGUCAGGGGUGAAAUCACAGACCUCAACUCUGGAACUGCCCUUGAUACUGGCGAUCUUGUGUGUGAGAGAGGUAUGUGGAACUCCGAGUGUAGAGGUGAAAUUCGUAGAUAUUCGGAAGAACACCAGUGGCGAAGGCGACAUACUGGCUCAUUACUGACGCUGAGGCGCGAAAGCGUGGGGAGCAAACAGGAUUAGAAACCCCAGUAGUCC